rnacentral:rRNA from 1 species
UACGUAGGGGGCAAGCGUUGUCCGGAUUUAUUGGGCGUAAAGAACGUGUAGGCGGCCAUGUAGGUCCGGUGUGAAAACUCGAGGCUUAACCUCGAGAUGUCAUCGGAAACCAUUUGGCUAGAGUCCGGAAGAGGAGAGUGGAAUUCCUGGUGUAGCGGUGAAAUGCGCAGAUAUCAGGAAGAACACCAAUGGCGAAAGCAGCUCUCUGGGACGGUACUGACGCUGAGACGCGAAAGCGUGGGGAGCGAACAGG